rnacentral:lncRNA from 1 species
AAGAAAACAAAGUGAUCCUCGUGCUAGUCUGAGAUGAUAGGUUGAGAUGAUUUGAGGUAAAAAAAUUGGUUAUGAAUUGUGUUUCUUUGAGAGGAAUUUUAUUAUAAUUUUGAUGUUUGAUUGUAAGAUUUUGAUGGAUAUGGCCAUGAAUCGUGCAUUCUAUUUGUGGCCGGAUGCUAAUUUGAUUUUUUUUUAAUUAAAUUGAAUUGUUACGUAUGUGUGUCUGAGCAUGUUAAUGAUUAUGG